rnacentral:rRNA from 1 species
AUUGAACGCUGGCGGCAUGCUUUACACAUGCAAGUCGAACGGUAACAGGGUGCUUGCACCGCUGACGAGUGGCGAACGGGUGAGUAAUGCGUCGGAACGCACCGAGUAAUGGGGGAUAACGCAGCGAAAGCUGUGCUAAUACCGCAUACGCUCUGAGGAGGAAAGCGGGGGACCUUCGGGCCUCGCGUUAUUCGAGCGGCCGACGUCUGAUUAGCUAGUAGGUGAGGUAAGUGCUCACCUAGGCGACGAUCAGUAGCGGGUCUGAGAGGAUGAUCCGCCACACUGGGACUGAGACACGGCCCAGACUCCUACGGGAGGCAGCAGUGGGGAAUUUUGGACAAUGGGCGCAAGCCUGAUCCAGCCAUGCCGCGUGUCUGAAGAAGGCCUUCGGGUUGUAAAGGACUUUUGUCAGGGAGGAAAUCCUUAGCGUUAAUACCGCUGAGGGGUGACAGUACCUGAAGAAUAAGCACCGGCUAACUACGUGCCAGCCGCCGCCGUAACAC